rnacentral:rRNA from 1 species
ACUCAAAUGAAUUGACGGGGGCCCGCACAAGCGGAGGAACAUGUGGUUUAAUUCGAUGAUACGCGAGGAACCUUACCUGGGCUUGAAAGGGGAUUGACCUCCCGGGAAACCGGGAUUCUCUUCGGAGCAAUCUCCUAGGUGCUGCAUGGUUGUCGUCAGCUCGUGCCGUGAGGUGUCGGGUUAAGUCCCAUAACGAGCGCAACCCCUAUUGUUAGUUGCCAGCGGGUAAUGCCGGGAACUCUAACGAAACUGCCGGUGUAAACCGAGAGGAAGGUGGGGAUGACGUCAAAUCAGCACGGCCCUUAUGUCCAGGGCUACACACGUGUUACAAUGGCCGGUACAAAGGGCAGCUACUUGGUGACAAGAUGCUAAUCUCGAAAACCGGUCUCAGUUCGGAUCGAAGUCUGCAACUCGACUUCGUGAAGCUGGAUUCGCUAGUAAUCGCGCAUCAGCAAUGGCGCGGUGAAUACGUUCCCGGGCCUUGUACACACCGCCCGU